UACGUAGGGUGCGAGCGUUAAUCGGAAUUACUGGGCGUAAAGCGUGCGCAGGCGGUUGGUUAAGUCUGAUGUGAAAGCCCCGGGCUCAACCUGGGAAUGGCAUUGGAAACUGGCUAGCUGGAGUGUGGCAGAGGGGGGUGGAAUUCCGCGUGUAGCAGUGAAAUGCGUAGAUAUGUGGAGGAAUACCGAUGGCGAAGGCAGCCUCCUGGGCCAACACUGACGCUCAUGCACGAAAGCGUGGGGAGCAAACAGG
rnacentral:rRNA from 1 species